rnacentral:rRNA from 1 species
GAAACGACUGCUAAUACCGCAUAAGCCCACAGCUCGGCAUCGAGCAGAGGGAAAAGGAGCAAUCCGCUUUGAGAUGGCCUCGCGUCCGAUUAGCUAGUUGGUGAGGUAACGGCCCACCAAGGCAACGAUCGGUAGCCGGACUGAGAGGUUGAACGGCCACAUUGGGACUGAGACACGGCCCAGACUCCUACGGGAGGCAGCAGUGGGGAAUAUUGCACAAUGGGGGAAACCCUGAUGCAGCGACGCCGCGUGGAGGAAGAAGGUCUUCGGAUUGUAAACUCCUGUUGUUGGGGAAGAUAAUGACGGUACCCAACAAGGAAGUGACGGCUAACUACGUGCCAGCAGCCGCGGUAAAACGUAGGUCACAAGCGUUGUCCGGAAUUACUGGGUGUAAAGGGAGCGCAGGCGGGAAGACAAGUUGGAAGUGAAAUCUAUGGGCUCAACCCAUAAACUGCUUUCAAAACUGUUUUUCUUGAGUAGUGCAGAGGUAGGCGGAAUUCCCGGUGUAGCGGUGGAAUGCGUAGAUAUCGGGAGGAACACCAGUGGCGAAGGCGGCCUACUGGGCACCAACUGACGCUGAGGCUCGAAAGUGUGGGUAGCAAACAGGAUUAGAUACCCUGGUAGUCCACACCGUAAACGAUGAUUACUAGGUGUUGGAGGAUUGACCCCUUCAGUGCC